UACGUAGGUGGCAAGCGUUGUCCGGAAUUAUUGGGCGUAAAGCGCGCGCAGGCGGUCCCUUAAGUCUGAUGUGAAAGCCCACGGCUCAACCGUGGAGGGUCAUUGGAAACUGGGGGACUUGAGUGCAGAAGAGGAAAGUGGAAUUCCAUGUGUAGCGGUGAAAUGCGUAGAGAUGUGGAGGAACACCAGUGGCGAAGGUGACUUUCUGGUCUGUAACUGACGCUGAGGCGCGAAAGCGUGGGGAGCAAACAGG
rnacentral:rRNA from 1 species